GACGAUUAUUUCCUCUUUGCUUUCCCUUUUUGUGUUUUGUAUUUUUUUGAUUUUUCUCUGGUAAAUGCAAUUGUUGAAUCAAAGGGAAUGUAGUUUCAAGUGAUGGUCUUAGGUGAAUCUUUGUUCUUCUUCCAGUAGCUUUUGGCAAUCUAAACUGUUCUUAUGUUGGGUCCUGUUGUGGAUGGAGGGAGGAUUCACCAAAAAUCUUUUCGAUGAUACAGUCUGAUUGGGCUAGUCUUUUUUAUUUUUUUUUUAUAAAAAAAUUUUAACCUACCCUUUUACUUUUCCAUUUGUUAUGUGGACCAUUGUUAGUAAAUUUGUAAUUGACCAUUUGCAGCAAACAAUCAGAUGUGAAGUAUUGGGUUAUGACACAUGAUGGGGUCUGCUAGAGAUUUCCAAAAGAAGUGAUCCUGGAGUAUUUCGUGCUUCCAGCACCAACGUGUCUUUAGUUUUCUAAAUUACUGAAGACUAGCUAUGAGAUCUCUUAAGUGAGCACUAGCCCUGGCAGUUCGAUACCCUGGCCAAAAGACGUACCUUGAUCUUUGGUGGGCAGAAGGUCAUAAAACUUUGGUCAAUGUACCAUUUAAAAAGCAGACCUAAAUUGUUGGAGACAUGAUAAGAUAAAGAUUAUGACUAUGAUGAUGAUGGUGAUGGUAGUGGUGGUGAUGAUGGUGACGUGAUGAGUGUUGGAUCUCUUAAGAGCACAGUGUGUACUUGUUUUGCUCUUAUUUGUGAAGUUGAUGAAAAUGCCCCUCCAACACAUGAGCGCUUGCCCUGGCAGUUCCAUAACCUGGGUAAAAUGGGAAUUUGGAUCUUGGCUAGGUAGUAGGUUGUAAAACUUUGGUUAACCUACCAUUUAAAAGACAAACUUAAGUUUUUGGGAGGUGUGAUGUGAUAAUGAUGUUGAUGAUAGUCGAAUCUCUAAAGCACAUAUUGUCUACUUGUUUUGCUCUUGUAUGUGAAGUUGAUGAAAUUUGCCUCACCAACAUAUGCAUUGAAGUUGUGUUAGUGGUGAACUUUAUUUCGACUUUCUUAUGG